rnacentral:rRNA from 1 species
UACAGAGACUGCAAGCGUUAUUCGGAUUCACUGGGCGUAAAGGGUGCGCAGGCGGCCGUGUGUGUGAGGCGUGAAAGCCCGAUGCUUAACGUCGGAAUUGCACCUCAAACUACACGGCUAGAGCAUUGGAGAGGGUAGCGGAAUUCACGGUGUAGCAGUGAAAUGCGUAGAUAUCGUGAGGAACACCAGAGGCGAAGGCGGCUACCUGGACCGGUAUUGACGCUGAGGCGCGAAAGCCAGGGGAGCAAACGGG